AGAGUUUGAUUCUGGCUCAGGACGAACGCUGGCGGCGCGCCUAACACAUGCAAGUCGAACGAGAGAUGAGGAGCUUGCUCUUCAAAUCGAGUGGCGAACGGGUGAGUAACGCGUGAGGAACCUGCCUCAAAGAGGGGGACAACAGUUGGAAACGACUGCUAAUACCGCAUAAGCCCACGGCUCGGCAUCGAGCAGAGGGAAAAGGAGCAAUCCGCUUUGAGAUGGCCUCGCGUCCGAUUAGCUAGUUGGUGAGGUAACGGCCCACCAAGGCGACGAUCGGUAGCCGGACUGAGAGGUUGAACGGCCACAUUGGGACUGAGACACGGCCCAGACUCCUACGGGAGGCAGCAGUGGGGAAUAUUGCACAAUGGGGGAAACCCUGAUGCAGCGACGCCGCGUGGAGGAAGAAGGUCUUCGGAUUGUAAACUCCUGUUGUUGAGGAAGAUAAUGACGGUACUCAACAAGGAAGUGACGGCUAACUACGUGCCAGCAGCCGCGGUAAAACGUAGGUCACAAGCGUUGUCCGGAAUUACUGGGUGUAAAGGGAGCGCAGGCGGGAGAACAAGUUGGAAGUGAAAUCCAUGGGCUCAACCCAUGAACUGCUUUCAAAACUGUUUUUCUUGAGUAGUGCAGAGGUAGGCGGAAUUCCCGGUGUAGCGGUGGAAUGCGUAGAUAUCGGGAGGAACACCAGUGGCGAAGGCGGCCUACUGGGCACCAACUGACGCUGAGGCUCGAAAGUGUGGGUAGCAAACAGGAUUAGAUACCCUGGUAGUCCACACCGUAAACGAUGAUUACUAGGUGUUGGAGGAUUGACCCCUUCAGUGCCGCAGUUAACACAAUAAGUAAUCCACCUGGGGAGUACGACCGCAAGGUUGAAACUCAGAGGAAUUGACGGGGGCCCGCACAAGCAGUGGAGUAUGUGGUUUAAUUCGACGCAACGCGAAGAACCUUACCAAGUCUUGACAUCCCUUGACGAUGCUGGAAACAGUAUUUCUCUUCGGAGCAAGGAGACAGGUGGUGCAUGGUUGUCGUCAGCUCGUGUCGUGAGAUGUUGGGUUAAGUCCCGCAACGAGCGCAACCCUUAUGGUCAGUUACUACGCAAGAGGACUCUGGCCAGACUGCCGUUGACAAAACGGAGGAAGGUGGGGAUGACGUCAAAUCAUCAUGCCCUUUAUGACUUGGGCUACACACGUACUACAAUGGCGUUAAACAAAGAGAAGCAAGACCGCGAGGUGGAGCAAAACUCAGAAACAACGUCCCAGUUCGGACUGCAGGCUGCAACUCGCCUGCACGAAGUCGGAAUUGCUAGUAAUCGUGGAUCAGCAUGCCACGGUGAAUAAGUUCCCGGGCCUUGUACACACCGCCCGUCA
rnacentral:rRNA from 1 species